GUUCUCAUAGUUAAAGUUGAUAACGGUGGUUUUUCAGGCCACGGAUCCCGGAGAGAGGCCGGGUGGGAAUU
rnacentral:tRNA from 1 species